AGAAUGUCAUAAAACAAGCACAGGAGAAACUGGGUCCAGUGGACAUGCUGGUAAAUUGUGCAGGAAUGGCAGUGUCAGGAAAGUUUGAAGAUCUUGAAGUUAGUACCUUUGAAGUUAAUGAGCAUCAAUUACCUGGGCAGCGUGUACCCCAGCCGGGCCGUGAUCACCACCAUGAAGGAGCGCCGCGUGGGCAGGAUCGUGUUUGUGUCCUCCCAGGCAGGACAGUUGGGAUUAUUUGGUUUCACAGCCUACUCUGCAUCCAAGUUUGCCAUAAGGGGAUUGGCAGAAGCUUUGCAGAUGGAGGUGAAGCCAUAUAAUGUCUACAUCACAGUUGCUUACCCACCAGACACAGACACACCUGGCUUUGCCGAAGAAAACAGAACAAAGGUCAGUAUCCUACAUGUCCCAAUUUGAACCUCUAAUGUUUACUGCUUUUCUGAUUUUCUUUCUACUCU
rnacentral:sRNA from 1 species